rnacentral:rRNA from 1 species
CGAAAGCCUGACGGAGCAAUACCGCGUGAGGGAGGAAGGCUCUUGGGUUGUAAACCUCUUUUCUCAGGGAAGAAAAAAAUGACGGUACCUGAGGAAUAAGCAUCGGCUAACUCCGUGCCAGCAGCCGCGGUAAUACGGAGGAUGCAAGCGUUAUCCGGAAUGAUUGGGCGUAAAGGGUCCGCAGGUGGCUAUGUAAGUCUGCUGUUAAAGAACUUAGCUUAACUAGGUAAAGGCAGUGGAAACUACAAGGCUAGAGUGCGUUCGGGGUAGAGGGAAUUCCUGGUGUAGCGGUGAAAUGCGUAGAUAUCAGGAAGAACACCAGUGGCGAAGGCGCUCUACUAGGCCGCAACUGACACUGAGGGACGAAAGCUAGGGGAGCG